UACAGAGGUCUCGAGCGUUAGGCGGAAUCACUGGGCUUAAAGCGUGUGUAGGCGGAUCGUUAAGUGCCUUGUGAAAUCCCACGGCUCAACCGUGGAACUGCUUGGCAUACUGGCGGUCUUGAGCAACCUAGGGGCGAAGCGGAACAAAUGGUGGAGCGGUGAAAUGCGUAGAUAUCUGGAGGAACACCGGUGGCGAAGGCGGCAUCCUGGACCGACACUGACGCUGAGGAGCGAAAGCCAGGGGAGCAAACGGG
rnacentral:rRNA from 1 species